CAGAGAAUAGUUUAAAGAGAAUUUCAGCUUUGGGUGCUGAUGGUGGGGUAUAGACCUCUUCUCUGA
rnacentral:tRNA from 3 species